GCAACGCCGGAUGGUUAACCCACUGAGCAAGGACAGGGACCAAACCUGCAACCUCAUGGUUCCUAGUCGGAUUUGUUAACCACUGCGCCACAACAGGAACUCCUAUUACCUCAUUUAAUACAGCAGCCCUAUGAUACAGAUUUUUUAUGAUCUCCCUUUUAUAGGUGAGGAAACUAAGGCCCUUAGACUGGCACCAUCAGCAUCAUUCAGGAGCUUGUUAGAAAUGCAAAAUCUUGGGCCCCAUUUCCGACCUACUGGGGCAGAAUCUGUACAGAACCACCAGGCUAGACCAGAGGGCCCUGUGGGUCUUAAACUCAUGUAUGCAUGAGGGUUCGCUAGAAGCUGUGUUAGAACCCACAUCCCUGGGUCCCACCCCUUGUCCCAAAUACAAGUCCCUGGUAUUUAUUUAGCAGCAAUACUUAGGCGCUCUGUGGAGUUGCAUCCCUCAGGUUCUUUUUGGUAUCACAUCAUCUACCAACAUUAGCUGAUAGUGAAAAGCAGCAUUUUGGAAGUUCUCUUACAGUGCAGCGGGUUAAGGAUCCAGCAUUGUAACUGCAGCAGCUUGGUCACCACUGCGGCACAGGUUUGAUCCCUGGCCUGGAACCUCCGUGUGCUAUAGGCGUAGCCAAAAAACCCCAACAUUUUCAAAGAGCAGAAAUCAGAGUUUUAUUUUCAGGGGUUGACACACUUUUUCUGUAAAGGCCCAGCUAGUAAAUAUUUUAGGCUUUGCGAGCCAUUAGGCCUCUGUCAUAUGUCGCAAAAGCAGACAAUAUGUAAAUGAACAAGGGUGUCUGUUUUCCAGUACAACUCAGUCAACUCCUCUCAUUUAACUUAGAAUCAGGGAACCUCCAAUGAUGGCAAUGCUCCCAGUGCAGAGUGUGUCUAAGGAAUGGGGCUCUUGGCGUUCAGCGGAGAGAGGAAGAAAGGACUGUCUGAGUCCAUUGCUCGUACUGUAGGCGAGGAAAAGCAGUUUUCCCUCGACCCUCCUAAGUUUGUGGCUGAGACCCCCUCUGCAACAAAAAACAGAUUAACGAGACAAAAACACACCAUUGUAAUUACUACAUAAGGGGAGCCCGCAAAGAAAGGAGACUCCAAAGGCAGCCAGACACCUGAGGCUCACGUACCAUCCUGAGCUGAGGAAAGGGACUGGGGUCUGGGCCUUCACCGGGCCGAAGGCCUUUCACAGGAAGGUGAGAAGAGCGGGUGUUUGGUGAACAAUGUUUGCCCACCAUGCAAAGGAGCCUCAGAAGAAAAAGUGAUCUCAGCUAAUGGCUCUUCCUGGUACAGGCCUCCUUUCUAAUUUUUUUUUUAGGCAGUAAAGAAGGAGUUAAAAAGCUUUUCAAAGCUGAGUCUGCUGGGUCUUGAUAGCCUUCAGUUCAAAAUAAUAGGUCAAAGUGGCACAUUCGGGAAAAGCCUGUUCUGAACCCCUCCACACCAUAUGCCAGGAUUAACUCCCUUCAGGCUGAUUACACUGUAACACCUUGGGAUAACUUUUCUACCAGGCUAUGAAAUCCUAAUACUUUCAGUUUUUGUAAGGUAACUUCUCACCUCAUAGGCUAUUGUCACUACUUUUUAUCAGUUGUGUUAUUAAUUAAGAAAAAAACACUGUGCCAACAAACUUAUAUACCCCAAGUAUCGUGUAAGAAUCUUAUUUGACAAGGUCUUGCUUUUACUCAAGCAGCCAUAUUAUUUUCUAAUAAUAGAAAAUACAUUGCAAAAAAUAAUCAAGUAAUCACCUUUUAUCAUUUUCUGAGUGUGGGAUAACUUUUCUCCUUGGCCUUAUGAGAAAAAGCCCUAUAACCCUCAGUGCUGAUUAUUGUUGAAGACAUAGUUUUCUAGCUUAUCGGAUGUCAUCUUGGAGUCCCCACAGGAUAAAUUCUCCCAUCUCCUGUAAGCCAUGUGACCUCCCUAACCAAACACCAGGACAUGAGUCUUCUCCUCACUUUCUCUCUGGUAUGAUCUUAUUUUACCUACACUGGUUUUUCUUAGUUUCGACUCUCUCCAUUUCUUUAAUGUUUAUCUUAUUUUGGGCAUUUUUAUUAAAAAAUUGCUUUCUGUCCUUUAUGGAAUACAAAAUUUUAAAAUUUCAUUUAUUUUUUAUUUUUUGGCCAUGCCCAUGGCAUGAGGACGCUCCUGGGCCAGGGAUUGAACCCAUAGAUCGGCAGUGACAACUGCUAGAUCUUUAACCCUCUGAGCCACUAGGGAGCUCCUCUGGAGUACAGAUUUAUUUAAGUCAAAAAGAAUGUUCAGGAGUUCCUGUUGUGGCUCAGCAGGUUAAGAACCCAACUAGUACCCAAGAGGAUGCAGGUUUGAUCCCUGGCCUCACUCAGUGGGUUAAGGAUCUGGUGUUGCCGUGAGCUGUGGUAUAGGUCGCAGACAUAGCUCAGAUCCUGUGUUGCUAUGGCUGUGGCGUAGGCCAGAGACUACAGCUCCGAUUCGACCCCUAGCCUGGGUGCCUGCAUAUGCCACACCCAGGUGCGGCCCUAAAAAGCAAAAAACAAAACAAGGGUGAGGAUGUUCAAUUUGAGGGUCUUUAGUUCAUUGUGCUUUGAGGACAAAGGGGAAGUGAUGCUGCUAUCUUCAGACUUAGGAAGUAGCAGAUAGACACACCAACUCAGGUGUAAUGUACUCAGAUUUACAUCAUCACUUGUGUGGCUGAAGUUGAACGUUCUUGGUUGGCGCGUGCGUCCUGCCCAGCUCACUCGGAGGGACCUGAGUACUGUAGACAGUUACCCUGCAGUUCUGCUUUUUUGUUUUGUUUUUUAAACAGAAUUCACGUUUUAUUAGAUGAAAAUAAACGACACAAAAUUGCUUGUCCUCACCAAUUAAAAGAUACUGUUUUCGGAGUUCCUGUCAUGGUGCAGUGGAAGCAAUCCAACUAGGAACCAUGAGAUUGCAGGUUUGAUCCCUGGCCUCGCUCAGUGGGUUAAGGAUCUGGCGUUGCCAUGAGCUGUGGUGUCGGUGGCAGACGCGGCGAGGAUCUGGUGUUGCUGUAGCUCUGGCAUAGGCUGGCAGCUGUAGCUCCAGUUAGAUCCCUAGCCUGGGAACCUCCAUAUGUGUGGCCCUCAAAAGACAAAAAAAAUAAAAAUAAAAUAAAAGACACUGUUUUCUGUAUUUUUCCUAGGUGAACCACAAAACUCUUGAUAAGAAAACGGGUUUUCCCGGUUAUGCAUAUAAAUCAAGAUGAGGGAGUAGCUAUGGUCUUCAAAAACUUAGAGGAAAAUGGGCAAAACCACACAAAUCAGUUGUCAGAGUCUGCGGCUUCAGGUUCUGUCUCAACCAUGGUUUUCAUGGUCCAUCUGCUGAAAAACUGAGCCUGGUCGGGGUGCAGAUGAAACAGGGGUGCAAGCAGCAGCCACGCCUGUGGGGCGACAGUGGCCAUUUAACAGUAAGGGUAACUCCCUUACAUUCUCUUGAUGAAAAAGUCAACUCCGCAGAACCGAUAAAUCCUGACCAUUAGAUCGGUGAUAGUAAACAUCAUGCCCCGAAUGCCUUCAGUGCGACCCUCACGCCAUAGGCAGGAACCAGUCACAGAGCAGCACUUUCAAGACCAUCUUCUUAGAGAACACAGCAGUCUCCAAAGUCUGCAAGUUCAGAUUGUGGCCGUUCAGCUGGUAAGUGGGCAGUGGUGGCAGAUUUGGUGUGUGACCUUUGGCAAAUUUACUUUCAGUGACUAAGAGGCCUGCAUGCACCUUAUAGCUUUGCCUCCUAAUAAACCAAUAAAAGAUGUCUUUUAAACUUU